rnacentral:rRNA from 1 species
UACGUAGGGGGCAAGCGUUGUCCGGAAUCAUUGGGCGUAAAGAGCUCGUAGGCGGCUUGUUGCGUCGGCUGUGAAAACCCGCAGCUCAACUGUGGGCUUGCAGCUGAUACGGGCAGGCUAGAAUUCGGUAGGGGAGACUGGAAUUCCUGGUGUAGCGGUGAAAUGCGCAGAUAUCAGGAGGAACACCGGUGGCGAAGGCGGGUCUCUGGGCCGAUAUUGACGCUGAGGAGCGAAAGCGUGGGGAGCAAACAGG